GCCUACAGCCGUGCCACCCUGAACAAGCCCCAUCCCCUCUGAUCUCGGAAGCUAAGCGGGGUCAGGCCUGGUUAGUACUUGGAUGGGAGACUACCUAGGAAGACCAGGUGUUAUAGGUG
rfam:Pteropus alecto contig30086, whole genome shotgun sequence.